rnacentral:lncRNA from 1 species
AACAAACAAAAAAAAUACUCAGACGAUGAAGAAAUGAGGCAAUGGAGGGAAGGAAUGUUUCUCAAGGGUGGUUGAUCCCUCUCCGUUGCCUAUGAUUUUCGAUUCUGCCCCCUCUUUUCAACCGCCCUUCUGCCUGAUUUUAAUGACUUAUUAUAAGUUGUUUUGAAAAGCUAAGCCAAACAUCCCUAUAUCUAUACAUAUACAAUACAAUACACACAUAUAUACAUACACACAUCAAAGGAUAUGUAGCCUAGCGAUUUCUGUACCUGUACAGAAAAACGUUCUCCAUAGGGACCAUUUUGGCAUUUAACUCUUUAUUACGGGCAAUGAUGAUGCCUUUCUAUUCGUCUGAGUGAAUCGGUACUUGAGAUAUUCCGAAUCUUGGCGGGGCAAUUUUCCGACGGUCGAUACGGUUGUGAUUAUUGCAGCCAUGGAGAUCAAAUCUCAAAUAAAAGGGUGAUGCUUUUGCUUGGUGAAGAUGUAUGAAUUUGAAGAGUUUUUGACACUGUUGUGAUCAUUUUUGGGCUACCCAGCUUUAUCAGAGUUUGCAGUCAUGGCAGUCUAUCCUCUAUCUCAUAGAGUGAGAUUAUAACUUUGAGAUGGAGGAAUAUGUUCGAUGGUUAAUUCUAUUAACGAACUUUGAUUAUUUGUGUAGACACGUACUUAAUUGAUCAAAAAGCAUAACCGGCAGUUGAUCCAAAAUUUGUAGCUCGAAUAAUGAAGCCAUUUCUGCAAUAUGUCACUCUUGUUUAUAGUGUUGGGAGUGUCCUGAUGUUUAAGGUAAUAAUGUAUGUGUUAUA